rnacentral:rRNA from 1 species
AUUGAACGCUGGCGGCAGGCCUAACACAUGCAAGUCGAGCGGAUGAAGGGAGCUUGCUCCUGGAUUCAGCGGCGGACGGGUGAGUAAUGCCUAGGAAUCUGCCUGGUAGCGGGGGAUAACGUCCGGAAACGGGCGCUAAUACCGCAUACGUCCUGAGGGAGAAAGUGGGGGAUCCUCGGACCUCACGCUAUCAGCUGAGCCUAGGUCGGAUUAGCUAGUUGGUGGGGUAAAGGCCUACCAAGGCGACGAUCCGUAACUGGUCUGAGAGGAUGAUCAGUCACACUCGAACUGAGACACGGUCCAGACUCCUGAGGGAGGCCGCAGUGGGGAAUAUUAGACAAUAGGCGGAAGCCUGAUCCAGCCAUGCCGCGUGUGUGAAGAAGGUCUUCGGAUUGUAAAGCACUUUAAGUUGGGAGGAAGGGCAGUAAGUUAAUACCUUGCUGUUUUGACGGUACCAACAGAAUAAGCACCGGCUAACUUCGUG